rnacentral:rRNA from 1 species
ACGAACGCUGGCGGCGUGCUUCACCCAUGCAAGUCGCACGGAAAGGCCCUGCUUUUGUGGGGUGCUCGAGUGGCGAACGGGUGAGUAACACGUGAGUAACCUGCCCUUGACUUUGGGAUAACUUCAGGAAACUGGGGCUAAUACCGGAUAGGAGCUCCUGCUGCAUGGUGGGGGUUGGAAAGUUUCGGCGGUUGGGGAUGGACUCGCGGCUUAUCAGCUUGUUGGUGGGGUAGUGGCUUACCAAGGCUUUGACGGGUAGCCGGCCUGAGAGGGUGACCGGCCAAAUUGGGCCUCGGGAACGGCCAGGACUCCUAGGGGGGGCAGGGGGGGGGAAUUUUGCAAAAUGGGCGGAAGCCGGGUGCAGCAACGCCGGGGGGGGGAUGACGGCCUUGGGGGUGUAACCCGCUUUCGCCUGUAACGAGGCGUGGGGGCGGGAAAUGGGGAAAAAAGCACCGCCAAAUUACGG